rnacentral:rRNA from 1 species
UUCAACGGCCGCGGUAUCCUAACCGUGCGAAGGUAGCGCAAUCACUUGUCUUUUAAAUGAGGACCUGUAUGAAUGGCAUAACGAGGGCUUAACUGUCUCCUUUUUCCAGUCAAUGAAAUUGAUCUCCCCGUGCAGAAGCGAGGAUAAAACCAUAAGACGAGAAGACCCUGUGGAGCUUUAGACAACUAAUGGGUCAUGUAAAUAAAACCCUGUUAAUAGAAAUAAACCUAUUGAAUACCAUUGAAUGUCUUCGGUUGGGGCGACCGCGGGGAAACAAAAAACCCCCAUGUGGAUAAAGAGUAAACACCACUCUUACAACAAAGACUGACAAGUCUAAGUAACAGAAAAUCUGACCAAUAAAUGAUCCGGCAAUGCCGAUCAACGAACCAAGUUACCCCAGGGAUAACAGCGCAAUCCCCUCCCAGAGCCCAUAUCGACGAGGGGGUUUACGACCUCGAUGUUGGAUCAGGAUAUCCUAAUGGUGUAACCGUUAUUAAGGGUUCGUUUGUUCAACGAUUAA